rnacentral:rRNA from 1 species
GUUUCCUACGGGGCGCAGCAGUGAGGAAUAUUGGUCAAUGGGCGUAAGCCUGAACCAGCCAAGUCGCGUGAGGGACGACGGCCCUACGGGUUGUAAACCUCUUUUGCCGGGGGACAAACGGCGGCACGCGUGCCGUCCUGGGGGUACCCGGAGAAAAAGCAUCGGCUAACUCCGUGCCAGCAGCCGCGGUAAUACGGAGGAUGCGAGCGUUAUCCGGAUUUAUUGGGUUUAAAGGGUGCGUAGGCGGGAUGCCAAGUCAGCGGUCAAGUACGGUGGCUCAACCUGC